rnacentral:rRNA from 1 species
AUGGACACCGGCGCGGCGCCUGCACCUACGACUGUUUCCUCCGACUACUUCCGCCUUGCCUACGAGGCAUCCACCUCCUGGAUGGACUCUUUGGCGAUGGAGAGCUCAGGAUUCAUCACCCCAACUGAAUCCACCGUGCUAUCACAGCCUCAGCUUCGUGUUUAUGGUGCGGCUGCGUGGAAGCCAGUGACAAGUACAGCCACUCUCUACUCACCUCUAUAUAUGUAUGGGUUAACUCCCUCGAGAAAAGGAGUCUUUGCAAGACCACCUGCAUAUGUGAAGGCAUCGCUCGCGCCCAACGUUUUUGACCGCCCGAUCGAUUCACCACAGACGGCGAUGGCACAGACCAGGAAUGUGUCGGCGGUGGCGCUACCUUGA